CAAGUCGAGGGGCAGCAUGGUCUUAGCUUGCUAAGACUGAUGGCGACCGGCGCACGGGUGAGUAACACGUAUCCAACCUUCCGUUUACUCAGGGAUAGCCUUUCGAAAGAAAGAUUAAUACCCGAUGGCAUAGUUCUUCCGCAUGGUAGAACUAUUAAAGAAUUUCGGUCAUCGAUGGGGAUGCGUUCCAUUAGGUUGUUGGCGGGUAACGGCCCACCAAGACUACGAUGGAUAGGGGUUCUGAGAGGAAGGUCCCCACAUUGGAACUGAGACACGGUCCAAACUCC
rnacentral:rRNA from 1 species